rnacentral:rRNA from 1 species
UGGGGAAUAUUGCACAAUGGGCGAAAGCCUGAUGCAGCAACGCCGCGUGAGUGAUGAAGGUCUUCGGAUUGUAAAGCUCUGUCUUUUGGGACGAUAAUGACGGUACCAAAGGAGGAAGCCACGGCUAACUACGUGCCAGCAGCCGCGGUAAUACGUAGGUGGCGAGCGUUGUCCGGAUUUACUGGGCGUAAAGGGUGCGUAGGCGGAUGUUUAAGUGAGAUGUGAAAUACCCGGGCUUAACUUGGGUGCUGCAUUUCAAACUGGAUAUCUAAAGUGCAGGAGAGGAGAAUGGAAUUCCUAGUGUAGCGGUGAAAUGCGUAGAGAUUAGGAAGAACACCAGUGGCGAAGGCGAUUCUCUGGACUGUAACUGACGCUGAGGCACGAAAGCGUGGGUAGCAAACAGGAUUAGAUACCCUGGUAGUCCACGCCGUAAAACGAUGAGUACUAGGUGUAGGAGGUAUCGACCCCUUCUGUGCCGCAGUAAACACAUUAAGUACUCCGCCUGGGAAGUACGAUCGCAAGAUUAAAAAC